rnacentral:rRNA from 1 species
ACUUUAAGUCUCCUGAAGGAACGUUGAAGACGACGACGUUGAUAGGCCGGGUGUGUAAGCGCAGCGAUGCGUUGAGCUAACCGGUACUAAUGAACCGUGAGGCUUAACCUUACAACGCCGAAGGUGUUU